UAAGACGAACCGUACAAACGUUAUUCGGAAUCACUGGGCUUAAAGGGUGCGUAGGCGGCGGGGAAAGUUGGAUGUGAAAUCCCUCGGCUCAACCGAGGGACUGCGUCCAAAACUUCCUUGCUUGAGGGAGACAGAGGUGAGCGGAACUCAGGGUGGAGCGGUGAAAUGCGUUGAUAUCCUGGGGAACACCGGUGGCGAAGGCGGCUCACUGGGUCUCUUCUGACGCUGAGGCACGAAAGCUAGGGUAGCGAACGGGAUUAGAUACCCCGGUAGUCCUAGCUGUAAACGAUGAGCACUGGGUAGGAGAUCCUUCCACAGGUUUCCUGCCGUAGCGAAAGUGUUAAGUGCUCCGCCUGGGGAGUAUGGUCGCAAGGCUG
rnacentral:rRNA from 1 species